rnacentral:rRNA from 1 species
UACGUAGGGGGCUAGCGUUGUCCGGAAUCAUUGGGCGUAAAGAGCGUGUAGGCGGUCCGGUAAGUCCGCUGUGAAAGUCGGGGGCUCAACCCUCGAAUGCCGGUGGAUACUGUCGGGCUAGAGUGCGGAAGAGGAGAGUGGGAAAUUCCGUGGUGUAGACGGUGGAAAUGCGCAGACUAUCAGGAAGAACACCCCGUGGCGGAAGGCGGCUCUCUGGGACGGUACUGGACGCUGAGACGCGAAAGCGUGGG